rnacentral:rRNA from 1 species
UCCAGAGGGGGCAAGCGUUGUUCGGAAUUACUGGGCGUAAAGGGCGCGUAGGCGGCCUUCUAAGUCGAACGUGAAAUCCCCGGGCUCAACCCGGGAACUGCGUCCGAUACUGGAAGGCUUGAAUCCGGGAGAGGGAUGUGGAAUUCCAGGUGUAGCGGUGAAAUGCGUAGAUAUCUGGAGGAACACCGGUGGCGAAGGCGACAUCCUGGACCGGUAUUGACGCUGAGGCGCGAAAGCCAGGGGAGCAAACGGG